rnacentral:rRNA from 1 species
AGUGAACGCUGGCGGCAGGCCUAACACAUGCAAGUCGAACGGUAACAGGAUACGGCUUGCUGUUUCGCGGACGAGAGGCGGGGGGGUGUGAAAUGUCUGGGGAACUGCAUGAUGUAGGGGGGGAACUCGUGGAGACGGUUACUAUUACAGCAUAAAGUCGCAAGAGCAGAGAGGGGGGGCCUCGGGCACCUUGCGCGCUGGUGUGCGCCGAUGGGGUUAGCUCGUUGGUGGGGUAUAGGCUCACCAAGGCGACGAUCCCUAGCUGGUCUGAGAGGAUGAUCAGCCACACUGGAACUGAGACACGGUCCAGACUCCUACGGGAGGCAGCAGUGGGGAAUAUUGGACAAUGGGCGCAAGCCUGAUGCAGCCAUGCCGCGUGUAUGAAGAAGGCCUUCGGGUUGUAAAGUACUUUCAGCGGGGAGGAAAAGAGUAAAGUUAAUACCUCUGCUCAUUGACGUUACCCGCAGAAGAAGCACCGGCUAACUCCGUG